ensembl:lncRNA
GGCAACAUGGAGGCAGACGUAAACGAUCCUCGCCAUGCAUCUCUACAUAAAUACAGGUUGUUAUGAAUAUUUCUUAAGGGAUGGAUUUCUAAAGGCUGGCCUUGAAUUCAAAGAUCCACCAGUCUCCACCUCCUGCGUGCUGAGAUUAAAGGUGUGGGCCACAACGCCCGGCCCUAACUUUAAGCCUUAACAACCCUCAGAGUGAAACAGCCCUGGAUCUGCCUUGGUUCUUGGAUUCUAUUCUUUAAUGACUAGGCACUCCUCCAAACCUCAGCCAGGAAAUAACGUCUUAUCGCGAUCCUUUCAACCGCUGAAAGUGAUCCACACGGUACUUGUCGAUUAACGUGACAGGUUAAAAAUAUGUCUGAUGACACCGAAGGGAUAGCGCUUGUAAUCAAUGUCAUUACAUCACUCAGCUUGCCUACGGUGAGAGAUUGGUUACCGCUGGGCACCCAGUGGCUGGCAAGGAGGAGAGUGGGUGAUUGCUGAACAGGAAGGACUCAUUUCUGCUUUUUAUGUCAAAGUUUCCCCCAGUCAAGUUUUUUACCAUUCACUUGAGGAGCUGGGAGUGCUUUGCAGAGGACUAUCCAGCAUGCUGCAGGAUGUGUAUGCCAGUGGCAUCUCCCUCUACUGAAUUCUGACAACCAAAAAUAGUCCCAGACGUUGUCAAAUGUUUGCUUGGGUGUGAACCACUGGUAUAACACCGGUAUGUAUUUGUCUAGCAUUUUCCCUUGGGAAAUCCGUGUGAUCUAUGAUUGUGUGUCGGUAAGGUAGAUACUCUUCCCCAACCCUUCAGAGAUGGGUGAACGACGAACCUCUUCUGCUGAAUGUUCUGAGAUCAGGAUGGACAUUUGAAGCCAUCAAGACGGCAUGAAUGGUCAAGAUGGAACGGUUUUCAUUUAAAAAUGUUUAUUUUAGCAGCACACACAGCCAAUGCCUUAUUACUUCAAACACCACAAAAGAAAUGACCACUUAGCUAGUAUCAAAGAGGACCCUAAAUAAAAAUAAGAGAGGGUGGGAGAGUUAGCUCAGUGGUAGAGCGCUUGCCUAGCAAGUGCAAGGCUCUGGGUUCGGUCCUCAGCUCUGGGGGGAAGAGGGGACGAGAUGCAGCCAUGAGAUUCAGAAGUAAUUUUAAGUUGAAUCCAUUGGUGGUUGAGA